GGGAAUGUGGCUUAGUGGUAGAGUGCUUGCUUUGCAUGCAUGAAGUCCUAGGUUUGAUUCCUCAGUACCA
rnacentral:tRNA from 1 species